CGUACCUAACCUACCUUUUGGACCGGGAUAACUAUUGGAAACAGCAGCUAAUACCGGAUAAAAUAAAAAAAUGCAUGUUUUUUUAUUAAAAGGAGCCUUUAAAGCUCCACCAAAAAAUGGGGGUGCGCAACAUUAGUUAGUUGGUAGGGUAAAGGCCUACCAAGACGAUGAUGUUUAGCGGGGCCAAGAGGCUGUACCGCCACACUGGGAUUGAGAUACGGCCCAGACUCCUACGGGAGGCAGCAGUAAGGAAUAUUCCACAAUGAGCGAAAGCUUGAUGGAGCGACACAGAGUGCAGGAUUAAGUCACAAA
rnacentral:rRNA from 1 species